rnacentral:lncRNA from 1 species
UGAUUUUGUAGUGGACAACACUGCAUGGGCUCAGAAACACAUCCAAAAUCCAUUGUCUGUGAGUAUUUGUGGAUGUCGCUGCAUCCACAAAUGCAAAUUAGAACUUUUUAAAAACAUGCAAAGAAAAAAACAUAUAUAAACAAGAUCCAAAAACACUGUCGCAUUCUCUGGGCCCAAGCUCAUUUAAGAUGGACUGAGGUGAUGUGGAAAACUACAACAGACAACAACAGCAUCAGCCCAGAACACAACCGCAUCAGCCCAAAACCCACCAACAUUUGCAGAAACGCUGCAUUUCAAAUUACUCUCAACAGAAGUGCUCCAGACCACUAGGUGACCGAACCCCCCUGCCCCUACAGAGGAAGACAAACAAGGCGAGAAAUGUUCGCUAACAACGAUGGACUGUGCAGUUUCUGAUCCAAUCUAGACGCAUGAUUACUGUGCAGGCCAGAAUUCUGCAGCCCUGGAUAUGGCCUUAAUAUUGGUGAAUUAGGAGAAAGCAGGAGAAAAUCAGGAGCUUCAAACAAAGCUAGAAAACCUGACAACACAACGCCACUUUCAUGUACAAUGGUUUCCUGUAGAUUUGCGACCUACACCCUCCUGGUGGCAUACUGGGAUCUGAUUGAGGUCAGCAGACACCAAGUUAAGAGUCACCAGUGCAAACACGUCCAAGAUAAGUGUUCCUUGACCAAAAACAUCACUCCCACCAAUCAAUGAGUUUUUCUUGUUGGGUCUGGGUCUGACCCAACCAGUCAACAGUGAUCCAGAUAAUCAUGUCUUGGGCCAACUUCUUCUACUUCCUGCUUAACUCAGUAUGGAUAUGGAUCCCCAAAGAUAACAUCAAAGCCAACAUGCCACCCAAGUUCAACGAUCUAAUUAUCUAGACACCAAAGUUGUGAUCAACUGCACUGAACUUUGCUGCCAGACACCAUCUUCCCUACUCCUGCAAAGUGAGGUGUUUUCUUCACUCUGUACCUUCAAGGGCAUGUUGGGAACGUCACCACAUGGAG